rnacentral:rRNA from 1 species
CAGUCGCCGCGGGAAUACAGAGGGUGCGAGCGUUAAUCGGAUUUACUGGGCGUAAAGCGUGCGUAGGCGGCUUCUUAAGUCGGAUGUGAAAUCCCUGAGCUUAACUUAGGAAUUGCAUUCGAUACUGGGAAGCUAGAGUAUGGGAGAGGAUGGUAGAAUUCCAGGUGUAGCGGUGAAAUGCGUAGAGAUCUGGAGGAAUACCGAUGGCGAAGGCAGCCAUCUGGCCUAAUACUGACGCUCAUGCACGAAAGCUUGGGGAGCAAACAGGAUUAGAUACCCGCGUAGUCCCUGUCUCUUAUAC